AGUGAACGCUGGCGGUAGGCCUAACACAUGCAAGUCGAACGGCAGCACAGUAAGAGCUUGCUCUUACGGGUGGCGAGUGGCGGACGGGUGAGGAAUACAUCGGAAUCUACUUUUUCGUGGGGGAUAACGUAGGGAAACUUACGCUAAUACCGCAUACGACCUACGGGUGAAAGCAGGGGAUCUUCGGACCUUACGCGAUUGAAUGAGCCGAUGUCGGAUUAGCUAGUUGGCGGGGUAAAGGCCCACCAAGGCGACGAUCCGUAGCUGGUCUGAGAGGAUGAUCAGCCACACGGGAACUGAGACACGGUCAAGACGCCUAAGGGAGGCAGCAGUGGGGAAUAGUGGACAAUGGGCGCAAGCCUGAUCCAGCCAUACCGCGUGGGUGAAGAAGGCCUUCGGGUUGUAAAGCCCUUUUGUUGGGAAAGAAAAGCAGCAGGUUAAUACCCCGCUGUUCUGACGGUACCCAAAGAAUAAGCACCGGCUAACUUCGUG
rnacentral:rRNA from 1 species